UACGUAGGGGGCAAGCGUUGUCCGGAUUUAUUGGGCGUAAAGAGCGUGUAGGCGGCCAGGUAGGUUGGUUGUGAAAACUCGAGGCUCAACCUCGAGACGCCGAUGGAAACCAUCUGGCUAGAGUCCGGAAGAGGAGAGUGGAAUUCCCGGUGUAGCGGUGAAAUGCGCAGAUAUCGGGAAGAACACCCGUGGCUAAGGCGGCUCUCUAGUACGGUACUGACGCUGAGACGCGAAAGCGUGGGGAGCGAACAGG
rnacentral:rRNA from 1 species